GCCGGAAUAGCUCAGUUGGUAGAGCAACCGCUUCGUAAGCGGUAGGUCCGCAGUUCAAGUCUGCGUUCCGGCACCA
rnacentral:tRNA from 1 species